GAGGGUGUAGCUCAGUGGCAGAGCGUCUGUCUUGCAUGCAGCAGGUCCCAGGUUCAAUCCCUGGCAUCUCCA